AACGUAGGAGGCAAGCGUUAUCCGGAUUUACUGGGCGUAAAGGGCGUGCAGGUGGUUUUCUAAGUGGUGCGUGAAAGCGCUCGGCUCAACCGGGCGAGGCCGUGCCAAACUGGAGGACUAGAAACAGGCAGAGGAAAGUGGAAUUCGGGGUGUAGUGGUGAAAUGCGUAGAGAUCCCGAGGAACUCCUGUGGCGAAGGCGACUUUUCUGGGCCUGCUUUUGACACUCAGACGCGAAAAGCAUGGGGGAGCGAACGGGG
rnacentral:rRNA from 1 species